rnacentral:misc_RNA from 1 species
AAUAUUCAAAACCCUUUUCUUUGAUCUGUUUUGGUCGGGGAAAUGGGAUUUUGGACUUGGAGGUCUAAUGCUUGCCUUUGAUUUUAAAAGCGAGCUCCUCUCAAAUAUAUUAGUGGGGUCCGCUUUGCCUGUCCUUGACGUGAUAAGAUGUUUCUACGUUUUGGAAUUUGGCACUGUCACUUGGAUGCUUGCUUCUAAUUGUCUCAUCGACAACGAUGGUGCUCCGGUCACCGCCCAUCUACAUUGGCGGAAGGCUUGGCCCACAAAAUAAAA